rnacentral:rRNA from 1 species
CAGUCGCCGCGGUAAAACGGAGGGGGCUAGCGUUGUUCGGAAUUACUGGGCGUAAAGCGUACGUAGGCGGCUUUGUAAGUUAGAGGUGAAAGCCUGGUGCUCAACACCAGAACUGCCUUUAAGACUGCAUCGCUUGAACGUCGGAGAGGUGAGUGGAAUUCCGGGUGUAGAGGUGAAAUUCGUAGAUAUUCGGAAGAACACCAGUGGCGAAGGCGGCUCACUGGACGACUGUUGACGCUGAGGUACGAAAGCGUGGGGAGCAAACAGGAUUAGAGCCCCUGUAGUCCCUGUCUCUUAUACA